GCGGUAAUACGUAGGUGGCAAGCGUUGUCCGGAAUUAUUGGGCGUAAAGCGCGCGCAGGCGGUCCUUUAAGUCUGAUGUGAAAGCCCACGGCUCAACCGUGGAGGGUCAUUGGAAACUGGGGGACUUGAGUGCAGAAGAGGAAAGCGGAAUUCCACGUGUAGCGGUGAAAUGCGUAGAGAUGUGGAGGAACACCAGUGGCGAAGGCGGCUUUCUGGUCUGUAACUGACGCUGAGGCGCGAAAGCGUGGGGAGCAAACAGGAUU
rnacentral:rRNA from 1 species